rnacentral:rRNA from 1 species
GACGAACGCUGGCGGCGUGCCUAAUACAUGCAAGUUGAGCGCUGAAGGUUGGUACUUGUACCAACUGGAUGAGCAGCGAACGGGUGAGUAACGCGUGGGGAAUCUGCCUUUGAGCGGGGGACAACAUUUGGAAACGAAUGCUAAUACCGCAUAAAAACUUUAAACACAAGUUUUAAGUUUGAAAGAUGCAAUUGCAUCACUCAAAGAUGAUCCCGCGUUGUAUUAGCUAGUUGGUGAGGUAAAGGCUCACCAAGGCGAUGAUACAUAGCCGACCUGAGAGGGUGAGCAGCCACAUUGGGACUGAGACACGGCCCAAACUCCUACAGGAGGCAGCAGUAGGGAAUCUUCGGCAAUGGACGAAAGUCUGACCGAGCAACGCCGCGUGAGUGAAGAAGGUUGUCGGAUCGUAAAACUCUGUUGGUAGGGAAGAACGUUGGUGAGAGUGGAAAGCUCAUCAAGUGACGGUAACUACCCAGAAAGGGACGGCUAACUACGUG